ACCUUGACUUUGAGGAGGGUCACACUCGGAGGCAAUGAUUCCUUCAGCUUUUUAGUUUGUUUUUUCUCUUGUUUGGGGUAGACACAAUUUAUGCCAAAUAAAGCUGAGAUGAGAGAAAACAGCCCACGUGGCGUUACCUCAGCCCACGUGACCUUACCUCAGCCCACGUGACCUUACCUCAGCCCACGUGACGUUACUUCACAAGGAGCAGGUAAAGUUCCACGUGGAUGCUGAAACCUUCCUGAACACUCCUGGGUGGUAACCACUGGCUCCAUCUCCUGUCUCAGUGACAAUACAAAGCCCCCUCCCAUCCUCCAGAGCUGGAUUAUUCCGAUGCGAGGACAACAGCUGGGGGCAAGGGUCAGAGUUGCAGAUGGUGCGAAGACAGGUAUGAAUUCACCUGUCAAAGAAAAUACAUGUAUUUUUCCAUCACUAA
rnacentral:lncRNA from 1 species